rnacentral:pre_miRNA from 1 species
AUACGAAUCACCCAGGGAUCUUGUUAAGAUGCAGAUUCGGGUUCCGCAGGUCGAGGGUGGGGCUGGAGAAUUUGCAUUUCUAACAAGCCCCCAGGUGACACUGAG